CGAGAUAUGGUGCCCUCUAGACAUGGAA
rnacentral:piRNA from 1 species